AUGCUUUUCCUCAGGAUUGUGAAUUCCAUCCAGGAGUUCGACAACUACUUCAAAUGCAAGAUGGAUUGCACCGGUAAACUUGGAUUCACCUCCAUCCAGAAAUGCACGACAGCAAUGAGGAUGCUUGCAUACGGAGCUCCCGAUGACUCACAGGACGACUAUGGGCGCAUGGCCGAAUCCACCAGCAUAGAGUGUUUCUACAAGUUCUGUCGGGCAGUGGUGGCAGUGUUUGGACCGCAAUACUUGAGAACACCCAAUGCGGAAGACACUGCUCGGAUCCUAGCACAGAAAUGCAGCAAGAGGAUUUUCUGGGAUGCUUGGAAGCAUCGACUGCAUGCAUUGGAAAUGGAAGAAUUGCCCAUUUGCUUGGCAGGGGAUGUACAAAGGCGCCAAAGGCGGUUGCAGUGUGGUACUUGA
rnacentral:rRNA from 1 species